UACAGAGGUCCCAAGCGUUGUUCGGAUUCAUUGGGCGUAAAGGGUGCGUAGGUGGCGCCGUAAGUGGGGUGUGAAAUUUCGGAGCUUAACUCCGAAACUGCAUUCCAUACUGCGGUGCUUGAGGACUGGAGAGGAGACUGGAAUUCAUGGUGUAGCAGUGAAAUGCGUAGAGAUCGUAAGGAAGACCAGUGGCGAAGGCGAGUCUCUGGACAGUUACUGACGCUGAGGCACGAAGGCCAGGGGAGCAAACGGG
rnacentral:rRNA from 1 species